AACCUUGCGUAGUGGCAAUAUCGUAAUCAAUGAAGUUUUACAGAGAUGCGAUUAUUACUAGUUGAAACUAUAAUUGUUAGCAGUAAAUUAGUAUUCUUGGCAUCCGGGUCAUUAAAUCUGGCAUUUAAAUAAUUCUA